AGAUGGACGACGCCUGUUCGCUCUCUUCCAUUGGUGAAAAGUGAAGCCGCCAGUGUCCCGAUAUGGCGCUGACAUCUUGGGUCUUGAGUCUGCGCAGUAGCGAUUUCGGGACCAGUCAUGCGCAGUAGUGAGCAGGAAGUGAAGCCGCGAAAUCAAAACCCCGCCCUCGCUCUCGUAGAAUGCGCAUAUCACACGAUAUCACAGCUGUCAAUCAUGACGUGACACCACCGUUUUUAUAUCAUUAAAUAACUAACUAAACACAAACCUAUUUUAAAAACAAACAUUUGAAUAUACAUCAGCGUAAUAAAAACUACAGUAAAUGACAGAAACCAGCUUCGGAAAAAAGAUAAUUGAAGUGUAAUAAAUUUUUUUUGUUGGUCUCAAGUCCCAUUGAAUAACAUGGGGAGGCGGGCUUUAUGAGCUAUACUGGGGGGCAAUCGAGACGUUUUGGCUUCACUUUUCAGGGCUUGUGUGGCACGCUUGGUCUGGACUGACAUGAAGGUGAGGAGGUUCUUGGUAGCACACGGGUUGGGAAAACACUGAGCUGGACUCACCUGUAGAGAGACGGGUCACGUUUGAGGAUGUCCAUAUUGAUGUGCUGUUCCAUCAGGCUGUACAGGAGGAUGGGUAAUGAGAUGGCUCACCUCUCCAUCUCAUCAUCUCUGUUAAGGAGCUCCAUGUGACUGUCCUUAAGUCGAAGAUAAGUGAAGCCCAACCUAUGCAGAUGAGAUGUAGAAGGAGGUGGAUUUGCCUUGAUGGAUUCCUCUUUUAAUGCCGUCCACCGUCUCCUCUUCCUUCACCUGAACUGUGUGGCACAGACACAGAGCCCGGAAAAACAGCUCCUCGCGCUCCUGAUAACAC